AGCACAUUAGCCCCUUGUGGAGGGGCAGCAGCUUGUCCCAGCACCCCAGGAAGCUGCAUCACUCAUCCAUUCCACCCCUCUUCCUCUCCCACCCCCACUUGUUAAUGUUUGCAUGCAGUGGAGGCUUUGGGGUGGUUUUUGGUUUUUUUAGGUGCGUAACAUCUGAGUGCUGCAUACGCUGACAGUGAGAUAACAAACAGCCUUGGUCACUGAGUUUCAUUCUGUAAAACAGCCAGUACAGAAAACAAUUCAGCCAGCAAGGAAAGCACACCAAAACUGGCUACCAAAACGUGCAGAGAUCCAGUGGAAGGAUGGGAAACUGCCUACCAAAAAUAAGGUGGAAAGUGCCCGCCUCCAUCCGGAGAACCAGAUACUCCCACAAGCAAACACAGACGUACAGCCAUCAACCAGGUACCAUCAAGGAACACGUUGCCAAAAAAGAUUCAAUGAACUCCAGUGAACUGUGGUACUCGACAGUCAGCCACGAAGUAAAACACGAAGUCUCUGUCAUUGACAGCAAUAAUGAGACAGAAUAUGCACUUAUCAGUGUGCCCAAGAGGAAGACAAAUGUCACCAGCCCUGAAGAGCAUAGUGAAUAUGAUGAUGUCCUGGUAACUUAGAAGUCACUGUUUUGUGCAGCCAUGGUAACAAUCUCACCUCAAACAAAUCUCUCUCUUGUUGCCAAACUUACCCAUUAGGCUACAUCUACCAGUCAUUUACUGUGAGACAAACCUGUCCACGAACAGCUGAUCAGAAAAAGAAAUAUGGACUAGGUGCUGGACUUGACAACUAAACCAGGAGGAAUCAGUAGCCACUGCCAUCAUAAGACAAUGAUCCUCUAUAGAAAAUAAGCAGCUACAUUUUUUCCUGGACUUUUGGAAUACUUCUUUUUUUAAAUGGGCCUUAAAGAACUACUGAUAUAAAUCUCAAAAAUGCAAUAAUAACAGGGUCUUUCUGUUUGUUUCAUGUUUAAAUAAAAGCAUAAACCUUGUGUUAGAUGCACUUAUUCUUGUCAAAAAUUUUUCUGACAUGCUUGAUUUGUAUCAUAUUGCAAUGCAAAAUUUUUAUAAAGAACCAAUGUCUCAAAUUCCCCCCUCCCCCUUCUAAUAUAAUACUACUUACUGUGAAGUCUUAAAGCUGGAAUUAAAUAAAAAAAUAAAACCAAUGUACUGCAUGCAAA
rnacentral:lncRNA from 12 species